rnacentral:misc_RNA from 1 species
AAGUCGUAACAAGGUAACCGUAGGUGAACCUGCGGUUGGAUCAUUUCCGAAUCUGGCCCUGACAAAGGGCUGAUCCACAACUGUGCACCGUCUGCAUUCGGAGGUCGGAGGGGUCCGCCUCUCCGCCGCCGACUGACAAACCAUGUCUGAUCCACAAGGCUGAGAAACAUCACUCAGGUGAUAACGCCAGACAACUUUCGACAACGGAUCUCUUGGCUCUC